rnacentral:lncRNA from 1 species
UCAGAUUUUGAGAUUUCACGCAUCUUGACGUCCUCUGUCGGCUUAGCCCCCUUGGAGAAUCACACCGUGUGCGUGAGCUACUACUACCCUCAUGUGGAGGGACCCACACUCGUGGGCCCACCAUACAUCAUCUUUGCGCUAGAGUCGGAAGGAUCCCCUCCAACUCCUCAUCUCUCUGAGAUCCGACUACACACCGACAGAGCGGUGAUGGGAGAGUAGAU